rnacentral:lncRNA from 1 species
CAGUCAGUCUAUUAACAGGCACUUAGCAAAUAGUGACUUCAUGACAGUUACAGGGAAUGCUAGGAGGGAAAACCCGCGGGUGCUAGGAAAAUGUGCAAUGGAGGGAUGCACGCAGUCGUGGGGCCAGGAUCUGCUCCCCAGGAAACGGCGCUGAGAGGAGGACAGUGUCGCCAGGCUAGGAGGGUGAGGGCGUCAGCGGAGAGAACGGCCUGCGUGGGGGCUGGUGGGCGGAGCGGGUGGAUCUUGGCAAACGGCAGGAAUGGAAACGGCUGGAGCAUAUGUCUCAGUGACAUCGCCACGGAAAUGAGAAAGAGAACCUGCCAUUCUCACUGACUGCUCUCUUAUCUCCCCACAGGGUGAAUACAUUCAUGAACUACCCAAGGCCAAUGCCCUGUUUGUAUAAGGCAUGUUCCCCAUACCUGGUUUCUGGCUACCACCUUAUAAGAAGCAAGCUGUGACAGCUCACAGCCCCCAGCCCCCUUUGCUGAAUUGGGUACUUCUUCACUACGUUCUAGCAACUUCUAGGGUAGACAUUGAGGAAAGGAGAAAAUGUAAUUAAACAUGGCACUUGGUGUCCUCUAGUGGCUCAAGAAUGUUGGCUCCAGGAGUGGGAAAACCCAGUGGCUGGAGAGUAGAGGAGAGCCACUCACGCUGCAGGGCAUGGUGUUUGAGCAAGGACAGCUCCUCCUCACACGGGGUCAUCCUGGCUGCCUCUCACAUAGGAGAUGGUGAGAAUGGGUAUGCCAGCCACCUUUCCAGAUAUUGCUGAACUAUAUCAGCAUGUGCUGCCAUCAAAGAAUCAGCAAAGGAUGUCAGGGCAGGGACAGGCGCUGCAGAGUGACUUUCAUAGAGCAAGG